CCCUGGGGACCUCGGCCUCAAGUCUAAUGCUCUCUCCAAAGCCGGAGCCCUUUCAGCAUGCAGAUUCCAGGGCCUCACCACAGAGGACUCCCUGACUCGGGGAUUCUGGGGCGCCCAGAAAACUGCAUUUUACCAGUCCAAAUAUUUUUAAUAAUAUAUAAUAAAAUAUAAGAUAUAGCGGGGAAAUGAAAUACACAGAUUUUAGGUGUUCAAUUCCAUGUCACCCACAUCUCAUCAAGAUAUAGAACAAUUCCAUCACUCCAGAAAGUACCAUGGGUCCUCUUUCCAGUUUCUCCACCCCACUGCUCAUCCCCCCAGGUUCAGCUUGGUUGUGACCUCUGCUAGAAGCCCUCCCUGGCCUCCCUGUGCACUGAGCUGGUGGUUCCUCCUUUGCGCCCCAGGUACAUGCUCAGAUCUGUGUACCCUACACUUUGUCCUCCAGCUUCGUGUUUGGAUGUUCACAACUCCCAUGAGAAGGGCCCCCGAGAGCUGGCACAGUGCAUGUGUUUCCUCUCCAGACUUCUACAAACCUGGCACAUAAUUGUUUGCUGAAAGAUGGCAUGUUCCUAAAACAGAGGAAGUAGAACCGAAUAAAGCGAAAUCCAACUUCCCACUCCCUGCUCUCACUUCCUCUGGGACAGGCCUUGAGCAAGAGAGACAAAAAGAACAAGAGAUGAUCUUUCCCUUUAAUGGGAUUUCAGUCUGAUCAGGGAGAUAGUAACAGAAAGACUAGACUAGACUAGUGUAUGAUUAAAUGACAUUUGCCAUCCCCAGAAGAGGGAGAGACCUGCAUGGAACAGGGUGGUCAAGGCAGGCUUCCUGGAGGAGGCAAAGACUUAGAUUUAACAGUACCAGAGCUCCAGGAUAGAUCCUCCUCUGACUGAACUCCCUAUUUCUUUCUCCCACCCCAACCUUCCCGGGUCCCCAGCUGAAGGGAUACGUGUGUGUGUGUGUGUACAUGUGCCUGCACACAUGUACACAUGUGGUUAGAAAGGGGGUAUUAGUAUCUCUCUCCUAGGAUGGAGUCUCAAGGACAGGCCCAUCAUCUCCUCAGUUUGCCCCUCUCUCUCCCACUUCACCUAGGGAAUGGAAUAAGAAUGGGAUAAGUAUAACACAAUGAGACGAAUGCAGAACCAACUAGAUGUACACCCAACAAUGUGGAUGAACCUUAAAACAGUGCUGCCUGAAGAAGGCAAGAAACAGAAUGAAAUCUGCAGCACAUCAUUCAUAUAAACUAAAAAUACAUGCACAGAGAAAGGCCACUUUUUUUU
rnacentral:lncRNA from 1 species